rnacentral:rRNA from 1 species
CAUUGGAAACUGGGAAACUUGAGUGCAGAAGAGGAGAGUGGAAUUCCACGUGUAGCGGUGAAAUGCGUAGAGAUGUGGAGGAACACCAGUGGCGAAGGCGACUCUCUGGUCUGUAACUGACGCUGAGGAGCGAAAGCGUGGGGAGCGAACAGGAUUAGAUACCCUGGUAGUCCACGCCGUAAACGAUGAGUGCUAAGUGUUAGGGGGUUUCCGCCCCUUAGUGCUGCAGCUAACGCAUUAAGCACUCCGCCUGGGGAGUACGGUCGCAAGACUGAAACUCAAAGGAAUUGACGGGGGCCCGCACAAGCGGUGGAGCAUGUGGUUUAAUUCGAAGCAACGCGAAGAACCUUACCAGGUCUUGACAUCCUCUGACAACCCUAGAGAUAGGGCUUUCCCUUCGGGGACAGAGUGACAGGUGGUGCAUGGUUGUCGUCAGCUCGUGUCGUGAGAUGUUGGGUUAAGUCCCGCAACGAGCGCAACCCUUGAUCUUAGUUGCCAGCAUUUAGUUGGGCACUCUAAGGUGACUGCCGGUGACAAACCGGAGGAAGGUGGGGAUGACGUCAAAUCAUCAUGCCCCUUAUGACCUGGGCUACACACGUGCUACAAUGGACAGAACAAAGGGCUGCGAGACCGCAAGGUUUAGCCAAUCCCAUAAAUCUGUUCUCAGUUCGGAUCGCAGUCUGCAACUCGACUGCGUGAAGCUGGAAUCGCUAGUAAUCGCGGAUCAGCAUGCCGCGGUGAAUACGUUCC